rnacentral:rRNA from 1 species
CAGCAGCCGCGGUAAAACGUAGGGUGCAAGCGUUAAUCGGAUUUACUGGGCGUAAAGCGUGCGUAGGCGGCUUCUUAAGUCGGAUGUGAAAUCCCUGAGCUUAACUUAGGAAUUGCAUUCGAUACUGGGAAGCUAGAGUAUGGGAGAGGAUGGUAGAAUUCCAGGUGUAGCGGUGAAAUGCGUAGAGAUCUGGAGGAAUACCGAUGGCGAAGGCAGCCAUCUGGCCUAAUACUGACGCUGAGGUACGAAAGCAUGGGGAGCAAACAGGAUUAGAUACCCGCGUAGUCCCUGUCUCUUAUAC